ACCGUCCUUCUCUCGGGGUGGCGCUACUGCCCCAUGAACGACUAGUGAGGGCAGUACUGCUGACGCUCGGGCAACACAUUCGCACCUGCGGGGUUUGCGCCUCGCACCGGUGCAAUUUUUGGAACC